UAGAGUUUCCUCUCCAUUUCCCGUAGACCACCUGUUUUUGGCUGUACCCAUCUAAAGGUGUUUGAGGAUGUGUUGAAAAGCGAUUAUGGUGUGAAUUAACUAAAAGUACAUAACGAAGACAUGCAAGUGAAUUUAACAUGUACAUUGCUGACACAAGGUAUCUGUCGCCAGCUUCGGCAUCUCGCACAAUCGAGUCGGUUUACAGUUGUUUCUCAACUGAAUCAAUAAUACCCGACUAUGGCUAAUUAUGUCCCGCCUGGUGUGGCAUAGAAAGGCCGCCUUUGCACAAAGUCGGCACUAACGCGUUGUGCUUUCUCUUAGCUUGCAAUAAUUACGUACCAGUGAAUAGCUUAAUUAACCCGUGCCCAUAAAAUGUUUUGCUUGCCCUAUCAAAAUGCACGGAGAAUUAUUAUUAAUUGCCCAUAAUUGUAUUGGAAACUUAAGAAAUGUAUUUACUCAUUGGCAAAUUCAGCAAGGCUCACUCAAAAUUUAUUUAAAACUGUAUAGUUUUUGUGGUGAAAAGAAGUAUAUGCAAUGCUUGUAUAUAAAUGGGUUUACUAAACACUAGGAAAGAUUUGGGACUGAUCAGGAUGAACUACCUGAAAAAUAUAAGGAGAACUUCGUCGAGAAGUUAGGCUGGCAAGCAGAUGAUGGUUAACCUGCAGAUACCAGAGUUAGAAAAUUAUGUUCAUUUUUCAUUAUAUUUUGUAGAGCAUUUGGUGGCAAAUUAUAAAUAAAAGAGAGUGUUUUAGUUUAAUGUAUUUGCUUCAAUCAGUUGAACAUUUCUGAAAUUGAGCACCAUCAGGUGCAUUGUAACGCUAGCUCUAACCCACCAAUAAUCAUUCUCUAAUUCUCGUAGGUGGCACUGGAAUUAAGUCAUUACUAAAUGGCGUGAGAAACGCGUCAAUUUGCUUCAACACAGCAGCUCGUCGACUUAUUGGCGUCUCUCUAACUGGAAUGCAUUGUCAGGGAUUCUAUUUCAGGUCAGAUAAUGUUUAAACUACCAUUCUUUUUCUUUCUAUAAUUACUCUGGGACAAAGGAUGAAAAAUUGACAAAGUUAUCUAUCUAUAUAAAAAAAAAACGAUGUAAUCAAUGGCGGGCUACUCUUUUAAGUCUUCAUUUAUUUUAAUCUACAGCGACGAACGAGUUGAAGGAGGGCCUUCUAAACGAA